GUGACAGCAGCCGCGGUAAUACGAGGGGUGCAAGCGUUGCUCGGAAUUAUUGGGCGUAAAGGGUAGGUAGGUGGUCUCAUUUGUCAGGGGUGAAAGCCUUGGGCUUAACCCAAGAAGUGCCCCUGAAACGGUGAGACUGGAGUCCUGGAGAGGGUCGUGGAAUUCCCGGUGUAGCGGUGAAAUGCGUAGAGAUCGGGAGGAACACCAGAGGCGAAGGCGGCGACCUGGACAGGUACUGACACUCAACUACGAAAGCGUGGGUAGCAAACAGGAUUAGAUACCCCCGUAGUCC
rnacentral:rRNA from 1 species